UACGUAGGGGGCAAGCGUUGUCCGGAUUUAUUGGGCGUAAAGAGCUCGUAGGCGGUUUGGUAAGUCGGGUGUGAAAUCUCCACGCUCAACGUGGAGGGGCCACUCGAUACUGCCAUGACUCGAGUCCGGUAGAGGAGUGUGGAAUUCCCGGUGUAGCGGUGAAAUGCGCAGAUAUCGGGAGGAACACCGGUGGCGAAGGCGGGUCUCUGGGCAGUAACUGACGCUGAGGAGCGAAAGCGUGGGGAGCGAACAGG
rnacentral:rRNA from 1 species